GACGAACGCUGGCGGCGUGCUUAACACAUGCAAGUCGAACGGAAAGGCCCCUUUGGGGGUACUCGAGUGGCGAACGGGUGAGUAACACGUGAGUAACCUGCCCUUGACUUCGGGAUAACUUCAGGAAACUGGGGCUAAUACCGGAUAGGAAUCCUUGCUGCAUGGUGGGGGUUGGAAAGCUUCGGCGGUUUUGGAUGGACUCGCGGCUUAUCAGCUUGUUGGUGGGGUAGUGGCUUACCAAGGCUUUGACGGGUAGCCGGCCUGAGAGGGCGACCGGCCACAUUGGGACUGAGAUACGGCCCAGACUCCGACGGGAGGCAGCAGUGGGGAAUAUUGCACAAUGGGCGGAAGCCUGAUGCAGCAACGCCGCGUGCGGGAUGACGGCCUUCGGGUUGUAAACCGCUUUCAGCAGGGGCGAAGCUUGUGGUGACGGUACCUGCAGAAGAAGCACCGGCUAACUACGUG
rnacentral:rRNA from 1 species